AAGUCGUAACAAGGUAACCGUAGGUGAACCUGCGGUUGGAUCAUUAAGGAUUUUUUGUGACUUGCUUUGGGAAAAAAGUUUUUCUUCUCAAGACAAGUUCACUUCACACACCACGUGCACCGUAUUUUUAAUCUGCUUGGAGGCUCCCAGUUUUGGGGGUGCCAAGUGAAACUUUUUUUGCUCAAUGAUGUUCUUAAUGUGACACAAAUAUUGUGGGAACAGAAAACAACUUUUGACAAUGGAUCUCUAGGCUCUC
rnacentral:misc_RNA from 1 species